UACAGAGGUCUCAAGCGUUGUUCGGAUUCAUUGGGCGUAAAGGGUGUGUAGGUGGCGCCGUAAGUCGGGUGUGAAAUUUCGGAGCUUAACUCCGAAACUGCAUUCGAUACUGCGGUGCUUGAGGACUGGAGAGGAGACUGGAAUUCAUGGUGUAGUAGUGAAAUGCGUAGAGAUCAUGAGGAAGACCAGUGGCGAAGGCGGGUCGUCUGGGCCGAUAUUGACGCUGAGGAGCGAAAGCGUGGGGAGCGAACAGG
rnacentral:rRNA from 1 species